UUCUGCCUCUGCUUUGAUAGAUCAGAGUUGAUGUGCAAAGACAGAGUCCUGCUGUCCCUGCCUUUGGAUGGCACAGCUCAUCUCUGGAGUCUGCCUGGAGAACACAGGGCAUGAAGGGGACUGCCAUCCUGAACCUCCUCACCUCCUUGUCACUGAUACUGAGAUCAAAGUGAAACUGGCACACAGGAUUUCCACAUAUGUCUGGCAAAAGAAAAACAACCAGCUUUACUUCGUGUUCUACAGCAUGUCCACUAUUAUGCCAGCCCAAUCGUAAUUUCCAAUGAAGUUUUGUCUCCUAACUGUGGAAGAUCUCAUCUAAUAACCUAGAUGUGCCAAAGUGAGAGCUUUACCUAGAACAUGAACCCAUAGGCUGCUCUCACAAGUGACAGAACAAUUAGGCCCUGCACAUCCACAGAAAACAGGAAGAAAAAAAGGCUGAACUACAAAGAACAUGAAAAAGACCACAUUCUUCUGAAGAAGAAUUCUGCUUACAGAAUACUGCAAUAAAAUACUGCACCAAAACUGCUAUUUUAUCCUACUUACCUGCUGUCAUGUCAUUCAUUAAUCUAAGACAAUUUAGACCAACAAUCUGAGCUGCAUCUAGAAGUGACCUUCUUUCAGCAUCUGUGAAAAAUGAUGGAACCUGAAGAAAGUAGGUUACUCUCUGCAGUCUCCUUCAAUUUAGUCAAUAGCAUAGCUGAAAUCUGUUCCACACUGAAGAUGUGCUCCUCAUCCAUGUACAUGACCUGGAUAGAAUAGGACUUCAGUUUACAAUUUCAUUUCCCAGCCGAGUGUUUAUAGAAGCAGUAACUCCAUUCUGUCUUAAAACAUUAAGAACUGGAUCAACUCCAUAGAUUAAGGAAAUGGCCAAAAGUGACACAGGUUUAAAAUGUGGCACACCAUUAAGUAAAAAUAGCCAUCGUUCUUCAAACUGAUGCCAAAUGCAAAAAAUGUACAGAAGUACUUGCUGUGUAUUUUUCCUCAGCAUUUUUAUCCUUCUGCUUAAAUAUGUGAGGUAUCUCUGAAAGGAAGAACUGUGCAACAACAGCUCACCUAUGCACAUGAAACAACUAAAAGCUUAAGAUAAAGCUUAGAAAAAAGUUUAUUUAUUGCUCUCUUAGCAAAAAUUAUUCUUGAAGCACCAUUUUUAUCAUGCAAUAGAAUACAUGA